ACGCACGCUGGCGGCGUGCUUCACCCCUGCCAGUCGCACGGAAAGGCCCUGCUUUUGUGGGGUGCUCGGGUGGCGAACGGGUGAGUAACACGUGAGUAACCUGCCCUUGACUUUGGGAUAACUUCAGGAAACUGGGGCUAAUACCGGAUAGGAGCUCCUGCUGCAUGGCGGGGGUUGGAAAGUUUCGGCGGUUGGGGAUUGACUCGCGGCUUAUCAGCUUGUUUGUGGGGUAGUGGCUUACCAAGGCUUUGACGGGUAGCCGGCCUGAGAGGGUGACCGGACACAUUGGGAAUGAGAUACGGCCCAGACUACUACGGGAGGCAGCAGUGGGGAAUAUUGCACAAUGGGCGGAAGCCUGAUGCAGAAACGCCGCGUGCGGGAUGACGGCCUUCGGGUUGUAAAAAGAUUUCGCCUGUGACGAAGAGUGAGUGACGGUAAUGGGUAAAGAAGCACCGGCUAACUACGUG
rnacentral:rRNA from 1 species